UACCUGCGGCGGCGUCCCCCUCCUCUUCUUCUUAAACAGUGGAUGCGGGUUUAGCUCCGCAUGAAGUUGUUGUACCGUGACCUCCCGGGCAGGCGCGUCCUGGCGUACCUGCCGUAGCAGAGGGUUUAGUAGAGGGAGGAGGGGCGCGGGAAGCAGGGGCGCGGGCUGCGGCUGCGGCUGCUCAGGAGGCUGAGGCUGCUGCUGGUGAAGAGGGAGUGGAGGAGGCUGAGGCUCCUGCGGCGGGGGCGGCGGCGGCUGGCCGGGCGGCACGUCCCGCCGCUGCCGGUCCUGGUGUAGUCGGCGGAGGGCCUGCUGGACGAGACGUUGUAGUAGAGGGCGGAGGGGUGGUUCCUUCGGCGCGCGUGGUACCAUGAGAGGUGGGCGACCGCGACGCACACCCGCCGCUGGGGCGAGGAGCAGCUGCUGCGGGUGGAGUCCCGGCGGCUGCCCGGGGCGCUAAAGGUGCGGCACGCACGGCAGAGCGCGACGCACCGGCGAGUGGGGCCGGGGCAGGCACGGCACGCGAAGUAGGCGUGGAGGAAAGUGGCCGUCCUCGUGCGUGAGCUCGCGGACUAGCGGUCGGAGCGGCGGUUCUUCUAGGUCCUGGAGUAGGAGAAGUUGGCGGGGACCGGCGAGCUGUACGGCGAGGGGCUGUCGUAGGAGCUGACACGGAGGGAGUGGGCGGAGAUGUAUCCGCAGACCGCGACCGUGAAGGGUCUGUGGUGGUGGGAGGCCGGUCGGAAGGGGUUGGAGCUUCUCGAGCCGGAAAAGGUGAGGUAGUACCUCCUGUCUCUUCAGCUACGGAACGAGCGCGUGACGGGGUUCGACUUUUAGGAGAGGCAGCGGUAGCGCAUGUAAUCGGCAAGCUAGGAGGCGUAGUUCAGGUCGUCGGAGGCGCGGCACUACCUUACCCCUACGUCGAAGCUACUUUAGUAACACCUCCUACGGGGGACGGACCUCGCGGACGAGAAGGUUUCGUAAAAGCUGGCCUCCGGGCAGUUCUAACAGGUGCGGGGAUCCGACCUCCACGAGCCGAUGAACCUGGAAGUUGAGGUGCGAGAGCUCUAACCACCGUAACAGUAGUCCCGACCCUACUCACACUCUCGAUCGCGGUACGACGGUUCAAACUUCUAUAAUCGACAGUUCCACACUGAAAGCGUGCUGUACCUCCAGUUCUACGACGUGUGGGACGAGUCUACGAAAGGAGCGGAGCUCUGUGAAGUGUAGUACAGGUAAGUUAGGUGAAGUGGACUACCACAUGUAAGACGACUCAAGACCCUCAGAGUCUCGAGAACGCUAACGGAGCUUAGUGUAGACUUCUGCGAGCAGGAGGUGCCUAAGGUCCCGGACUUGACACUCGACAACAAGGAGCCAAUGUAGAACUUCUUACCCUUCCACGAAUUCUGCGACCCUUACCAAACAUCUCUGUCACUACUACACCAUAGCCUCCGUCCGGCCUACAGUACAAGACAACCGCUCCCGUUACGCGGUAGUCCACCUUCAUCACCGUCACUACUACACCAUCACCUCCCUCCGGGACAGAGUCCAAGACGACCACUCCCGUUACACAGUAGUCCACCUUCGUGACCGUCGGUACUACACCAUUACCUCCCUCCAGGGCACAGUCCAAGGCAAUCACUCCCGCUACGCGGUAGUCCGCCUCCGUGACCGUCACUACAGUAAAUGCAAACGGGGCGGAGGGGAUCGACCUCGAAAGUCUUGCGGUAACUGAACAGUCACCUCCUAGGGAAGACACACAACUCCGCACGGUCCCGGACCUCCCGAAGAGCUCGACUCCGUACUCAUCAAAAACAAAAAGUACGACUACCAUAAAGCGUAGCUGUACAAAUGAAACUCGACGAUUCCCAAACCAUGAAAUGAAUAAUCAAGACGUGAAGACGUAUUAAAACGCCACUUAACGCUUCCAUCUUACUCCGGUACUACCAGACCUUCGAUCAAAAUGAUCAUACAUACAACGUGAGAAAGAACUCAAGAGAUAACCCCUUCUGACUACACUAAGACUCCACACCUUCAUGGG
rnacentral:rRNA from 1 species